GACGAACGCUGGCGGCGUGCCUAGUACAUGCAAGUAGAACGCUGAAGGAGGAGCUUGCUCUUCUGGACGAGUUGCGAACGGGUGAGUAACGCGUAGGUAACCUGCCUGGUAGCGGGGGAUAACUAUUGGAAACGAUAGCUAAUACCGCAUAACAGUAGAUGUUGCAUGACAUUUGCUUAAAAGGUGCAAUUGCACCACUACCAGAUGGACCUGCGUUGUAUUAGCUAGUUGGUGGGGUAACGGCUCACCAAGGCGACGAUACAUAGCCGACCUGAGAGGGUGAUCGGCCACACUGGGACUGAGACACGGCCCAGACUCCUACGGGAGGCAGCAGUAGGGAAUCUUCGGCAAUGGACGGAAGUCUGACCGAGCAACGCGGCGUGAGUGAAGAAGGUUUUCGGAUCGUAAAGCUCUGUUGUAAGAGAAGAACGAGUGUGAGAGUGGAAAGUUCACACUGUGACGGUAUCUUACCAGAAAGGGACGGCUAACUACGUG
rnacentral:rRNA from 1 species